rnacentral:sRNA from 1 species
AAAAUAAAAAUAAAAAUAUGUUUUGCUUCUUUUUUU